GACAGAGGUGCCGAGCGUUAGGCGGAAUCACUGGGCUUAAAGCGUGUGUAGGCGGAUCGUUAAGUGCCUUGUGAAAUCCCACGGCUCACCCGUGGAACUGCUGGGCAUACUGGCGGUCUUGAGCCACCUAGGGGCAACCGGAACAAACGGUGGAGCGGUGAAAUGCGUAGAUAUCGUUUGGAACGCCAAUGGUGAAAACAGGUUGCUGGGGUGUGCUGACGCUGAGACACGAAGCCAGGGAGCAAACGGG
rnacentral:rRNA from 1 species